UUUCACUCUCUUCUUCCACCAUCUCUUCUUCCUCUUCAACAGUUGCAUCUGGGCUUAUGCUCAGACUCGACUUCACUGAGCUGUAGAUUCGCGAAGCAAAAUCCUGGGGAUCGCUGAGCAUGAAUCCACUCUCCAUCAGUGCAGUUUGGUACAUCAGCUGUGCUGUUGCCUUCACACUCUCGUCCUGUUAAUACAUACAUACAAUCCGGGUGUUAAGCAAAAGUGAAGACUUAAAUUAGGAGGGAGGGAUACUCAUUUGGCUUUCCAAGUGAGUUACCUCGGCAUCCUUGGCCACUCUUUCGCGUAGCUCUUUGACAAUGGGGUGACGAGGGUUGAUCUCCAGGACCCUCUUUCCCCUCAUGUAGGCUUGCUUGCUAGCGUCUGUUAGAGUCUGAGAGUGCAUUAUCCUCUCCAUAUUCCCACUCCAUCCGUACUUGUUUGUCACCACUACACAAGGUGUGUCAGCUAAACGGUUGCUGACCUUCACGUCGUCUACAUUCCAGCUUGCAAGUGCUCCCUUCCACCACUUCGUCAGAUCCUUGAAUGUUUCCUUCACUUCUUUGUUUGGUGAGUCUGCGAUCUUCACUCCUUCCUUUGAUACGUUC
rnacentral:lncRNA from 1 species